GUGAAUCAUCAAAUCUUUGAACGCAAAUUGCACUCUCUGGGAUUCCGGAGAGUAUGCCUGUUUGAGGGUCAGUAUAAAUAAAAAUCGAGGUGUUGCUUCGGGUGACGGCUUCGGAAUUGGAUGAUCUUUAAUCUUAAUAAGGGUUUAAAGUGACCUAAAAUGGAUUAUAUCUUGUCCAGCGUA
rnacentral:misc_RNA from 1 species